ensembl:lncRNA LNCATV lncRNA negative regulator of antiviral signaling
GAAACAGCCCGGGGCUUUCAGCACAGAUGAGAAGUCUAAAAAUUUCCCUUUUCAUUUCCUCUCUUGUGUGACUUUGUCAUUUUUAAAAAAACUGGUCACAGAAAAGGGAAUUUUGCCCAUGCUUUUAAGGAGUUUAUCUCGACUGAGUAGCUUCCCCGCCACUCCUCUAAAAUCCCUCCUCAAAAACCCCAAGUUAAAAAAAAAAAAGAUCUAUUCUUGUAGAUUUUUUUUGUGUGGGUCUAUGUUUCAUUCAUCUGCUUUCAGGCUGGAUUUAUAACAAGCAGAACUUUUAAAACGGUAUGAUUUUAAAAUAAAAUUAAAAAAAAAACACGCUGAGAUCUUUCCAUAGCUUUGGCUUCUGGGAGUUGAAAGCGCAGGUACGUGCUACAUCUUCUGGAAACCUAACCCUCGCACGCCAAGCGGGAGGCUCUUUUGGUCAAAUACUCCCAGGACUUAUGCUUGAGUUCUGAAAUAAGUGAAAGCAGAUGCCAUUCCUGUGCGACAUAGCUAACUGACCGCAGCCCAGAAAGUUCUGUUGGCUAGCUGUGUGGGGGCUGUCUUAAGCCCUGAAAACAUUCUGCAUCAGAACUCAGCUUCAGAAAGGGGUUCCUGCUCUCCUGUCUGCCCUGGAGAUAGUCACGCAUGACAGCUUGUGGGCUGACUGAGCAUUUAGGCAGCUGCUUUUCCUCUCUCCCUCCAGGAGGAAAAUAGAGCAAAAAGCUUCAGGAAAAAGAGGACCUUAGAACUGAAGGAGCAAGAUUCCAACAUCACACUGUUUUUGUUAGCUGUGUGUGUGUGUUUCCUGUGUAUCCAAAAGACAGAGGAGAUGAAAAAGCAAAAGAAAAGAAACGAGGAAUCAGAUUGGAAAGAAGGUUUCUCCAGGACGUCACCUGUAUGAGGUACACAGUGUGAUGACACACUCUGUGCUUUUCCUACUUGUGUCCACGUGAGUGUCUGGAGCUGCCCUUCAAGGAGAGCAAUAGAUGAAUGAUUCUGCCUUCCCGCUGAGAGGGAUGUGGGUCCUGCGGAUGGUCGGGGUGAAGCUUCCUCUCCUUUCUGCUGACAGCACUUCCUCAUUAAAUGCAGAGAUCUGCAAAAAGGGAAAAUAAAAACACAAGAAGAAAAA